rnacentral:lncRNA from 1 species
UGCCACAGUGUGCAGCUUGGAACAGGAACUUCUGCAAUGAACUUGCUAUACUUUAGUACUACAGGGUCAGUGUUGUUUUCCCAUUCUUCUCUAAGAAUAUAGAGUUCACCCUCCUGUCUACCAAUCCCCUUCACUUUGUCAUUGAAGAGGCCCCGAAAGACACAAAAAUCAGGAUAGAAGGAAACAAAGCAAGAGAGUUCCUUGGUUAUCUUAGCAACAGAUAGUAGAUUAAGUUUGAAGUCUGGAACAAAAAGAACAUCUUCGAUCACACCAUCUGCAAAC